rnacentral:rRNA from 1 species
UACGUAGGGUGCAAGCGUUAAUCGGAAUUACUGGGCGUAAAGCGUGCGCAGGCGGUUAUGUAAGACAGUUGUGAAAUCCCCGGGCUCAACCUGGGAACUGCAUCUGUGACUGCAUAGCUAGAGUACGGUAGAGGGGGAUAGAAUUCCGCGUGUAGCAGUGAAAUGCGUAGAUAUGCGGAGGAACACCGAUGGCGAAGGCAAUCCCCUGGACCUGUACUGACGCUCAUGCACGAAAGCGUGGGGAGCAAACAGG